AACGAACGCUGGCGGCGUGCUUAACACAUGCAAGUCGAACGAGAAUUGGGUAGCAAUAUCCAUAGUAAAGUGGCGCACGGGUCCGUAACACGUGGGCAAUCUGCCCAAAGGCAAGGGACAACCUGUCGAAAGACGGGCUAAUACCUUAUAAGACCACGAAAUCUUCGGAUUUUGAGGUCAAAGGUGGCCUCUACUUGUAAGCUAUCACCUUUGGAUGAGCCCGCGCACCAUCAGCUAGUUGGUAGGGUAACGGCCUACCAAGGCCAAGACGGUUAGCUGGUCUGAGAGGACGACCAGCGACACUGGAACUGAGACACGGUCCAGACUCCUACGGGAGGCAGCAGUGGGGAAUUUUGGACAAUGGGCGAAAGCCUGAUCCAGCAACGCCGCGUGAGUGAUGAAGGCCUUCGGGUUGUAAAGCUCUGUCGGAAGGAAAGAAUAAAGGCCACCUAAUACGUGGCCAUAUGACGGUACCUUUAAAGGAAGCAACGGCUAACUCUGUGC
rnacentral:rRNA from 1 species